rnacentral:misc_RNA from 1 species
UUUUUUUUUAAAAAAGAACUUUUUUUUUUGUUGGUGUACUGAUUUGUAAGAUAUAGCCGAACCCUAUAAAAUUUUUGUUUGGAUAAAGGUGUAGUUGGGUUGAGUUUGAGUGACUUGGAAGAUGGGAUUCAUUGAACUGCGUGUAUUUUUAUAUUUAUUUAUUUUUAAAUCUAUGGUAGAUUGCCUGAUAUUUUGGUCUGCAUUUUAGUUUUAGUUAUUUAUCUAUUUAUACAUUUAUGCUGGUUUUGUGAAUUUCGAUUUGUUUUGUUUGUUGGGUUUGCUGUAUUUAUCUUGUACUGUUUGAGGGUAAGAUGAUGAUGGGGAGGAUGUGGGCUCUGAACAAAUUGGUGGGUCAUUCUAUUUUCUUUCCCCUUUUCCUUUUACCCUUUUUUUAUCUGUUUAGAUAAUUUAUUAUGCAUAGCAAAUUGCGUAAGCAUAUAUUAUGGUCUAUUGUUCUUAUCUUGGCUUAGAUCCAAACAAUUGAAAUGUUCCUUUUCUCUAUGUUUGAUGUUUGAUUUGGACUACAAAAUUGGAUGCAAUGAGCUGAUCUUACUUUUUCCAACCUUAUGUUAUAUAUGUAAUAUGCUGGAUGAUAAUUCAUUUCGCAUUGAUUUUGUCUGCAAAUUGUUGAUUAUGUUUCUUUUUACUUCUUGAAUCAUUUAUGUUGGGCUGAGAUUGACUUAGGCUCAACAUAGUAAAAUGCCGAAUGAAACCUAAUUCCAAGCAUGAGAUAUAUGAUCAAUUCAUCAUCUCAGGAUUACAUUCCUUGUUGCUUUUAGUUGAGCGUUGAAUUUUAUGAUUGCCUAUUACUUUGUUAGGCUUUAGAGAUGUGUUUUGAUAAGCCUAAUAUUCGAAAUUUCUUCCUUAUUUUAUGAAGUGGCAAUGGAGAACAUUGGGAUUGGCAAGGGGAGGACUAUUGUCUUCAAAAGGACUCCAAUUAUGCAGAUGUAUCUCAAUGUUUAUGGAAUGAAGUGACUUUGAAUGAGGAAGAUCUCUCUUACAUGUUAGAUGAAACAACCCCAGUUAAAGCUUGUGGGGAUUUGGCCUACCAUGUUAAUCAUAACGAUAACAUGCAGAAGGAACCAGAAGAACAGAAAGAAACUUCUUCACAAUUAAAGAGGCGCAGGAUGUUACAGUUUGAUACUCAAGCUGUAGAUUCCCACUUUUGCAAUGAAGAGAUGUCGUCUUUGUUUCUAUCAAAUAGGGAGGACUCACUUGAUGAAGUUUUACCUCAAGCAUCAGAGUGGGCUCCUGGGUUUUCAGAUGUGUCUGCCUCCAGUUAUGAGGUUCUGGAUCAGUCAUCUGAGGGGUGGUUGGCUGAAUGCCUUAAUGACACUGACAUGCAGUUUAGUCCCAAUGAUAUGUAUGCUUCUUUAUACUUUAGAUUCUUUUUUGUUUUUUGUCUACUAAAAGCUUACUGCUUUAUUAUGUGAAACUUAGGAAUUUUGCUGGAGCAUCUGAUGUUCAAAUUGAUAUUUCAGGUAUAUGCAUUAUUUUUUCAUUCACAUAAUGUGCAUGAAUAUGCACUAUUGUUCAUUUUACAUAUCAUGUGACGUGCAAAAUGAAUAUUAUGUAAAGAGCAUAAUAUUACCUUGCUGCUGUAGAGUUCUGCAAUAGUCCACUCGGAAGUGAAGCUAAUAUGGUUCAAAAGCAUGUUGCCCGGACUCCUCAAAAUGUAGUUUUUAAAGGUAAGAAGUCUUUUAUACGAACGCCCACUAAGUUAGCUUCAUCUGUUGUCUAUCCAUUUGCCUUCAUCAAACCCUGUGGGUUCCAUGGAGAUGUUACUCUGAAGGACAUAAACCAACGGAUCCGCAGUCCGCCAUCAAAUUCAAAGCAAAAUGUUGAAGAUCCUGCUACUUUCCCUACUUCAGCUUUUUCUGGGAAGCCUGUUGUUGGCAAAACUAAAAUCCGCACUGAAGGUGGAAAAGGAAGCAUCACAAUCAUGAGAACCAAAGGCUGAGUAGAUAAGUGUCAUUCCAAACUUCUGGUUUGCAGGCCCGAUAGAUUCAUCCCAUUAUGUUCUGGGGUUGAGUUAUUUUUUAAAACUUCUUUUUGCUCUGUACUAUUCUUGGGCCUUAAAAGUAUAAAUAUUGAUAGUGAAAUUUUCCUAGUAGUAUUUAAGGUAUCAACGGCUGUUGUGUCAUACAUAUUUGACUUUCGUUUAGGACUACUGAAAUCUCGAUGUCAACGAGAAUCCUGUGUAUUUUCUGUAGUCUUCAGCACUACCCUGUCGGUACUUUCACUGACUUGAUCUGCAAAGCUUAUGUAUUUGACUAUUGUAUUUGAAAGAUUUGUAUUUAACAUGGGGUAGAAUGCACCAACUUCUUUCUUAAAUUUAAUUCACAGGUUCUUAAC